GGGUUGUGAGGUUAAGCGACUAAGCGUACACGGUGGAUGCCCUGGCAGUCAGAGGCGAUGAAGGGCGUGCUAAUCUGCGAUAAGCGCCGGUAAGGUGAUAUGAACCGUUAUAACCGGCGAUACCCGAAUGGGGAAACCCAGUGUGACUCGUCACACUAUCAUUAACUGAAUCCAUAGGUUAAUGAGGCGAACCGGGGGAACUGAAACAUCUAAGUACCCCGAGGAAAAGAAAUCAACCGAGAUUCCCCCAGUAGCGGCGAGCGAACGGGGAGGAGCCCAGAGCCUGAAUCAGCAUGUGUGUUAGUGGAAGCGUCUGGAAAGGCGCGCGAUACAGGGUGACAGCCCCGUACACAAAAGCGCAUGUGCUGUGAGCUCGAUGAGUAGGGCGGGACACGUGGUAUCCUGUCUGAAUAUGGGGGGACCAUCCUCCAAGGCUAAAUACUCCUGACUGACCGAUAGUGAACCAGUACCGUGAGGGAAAGGCGAAAAGAACCCCGGCGAGGGGAGUGAAAAAGAACCUGAAACCGUGUACGUACAAGCAGUGGGAGCACAGGUUUACCUGUGUGACUGCGUACCUUUUGUAUAAUGGGUCAGCGACUUAUAUUCUGUAGCAAGGUUAACCGAAUAGGGGAGCCGGAGGGAAACCGAGUCUUAAUUGGGCGUUAAGUUGCAGGGUAUAGACCCGAAACCCGGUGAUCUAGCCAUGGGCAGGUUGAAGGUUGGGUAACACUAACUGGAGGACCGAACCGACUAAUGUUGAAAAAUUAGCGGAUGACCUGUGGCUGGGGGUGAAAGGCCAAUCAAACCGGGAGAUAGCUGGUUCUCCCGAAAGCUAUUUAGGUAGCGCCUCGUGAAUUCAUCUCCGGGGGUAGAGCACUGUUUCGGCUAGGGGGCCAUCCCGGCUUACCAACCCGAUGCAAACUGCGAAUACCGGAGAAUGUUAUCACGGGAGACACACGGCGGGUGCUAACGUCCGUCGUGAAGAGGGAAACAACCCAGACCGCCAGCUAAGGUCCCAAAGUCAUGGUUAAGUGGGAAACGAUGUGGGAAGGCCCAGACAGCCAGGAUGUUGGCUUAGAAGCAGCCAUCAUUUAAAGAAAGCGUAAUAGCUCACUGGUCGAGUCGGCCUGCGCGGAAGAUGUAACGGGGCUAAACCAUGCACCGAAGCUGCGGCAGCGACACUGUGUGUUGUUGGGUAGGGGAGCGUUCUGUAAGCCUGCGAAGGUGGCCUGUGAGGGUUGCUGGAGGUAUCAGAAGUGCGAAUGCUGACAUAAGUAACGAUAAAGCGGGUGAAAAGCCCGCUCGCCGGAAGACCAAGGGUUCCUGUCCAACGUUAAUCGGGGCAGGGUGAGUCGACCCCUAAGGCGAGGCCGAAAGGCGUAGUCGAUGGGAAACGGGUUAAUAUUCCCGUACUUGGUGUUACUGCGAAGGGGGGACGGAGAAGGCUAUGUUGGCCGGGCGACGGUUGUCCCGGUUUAAGCGUGUAGGUGUGUGUUCCAGGUAAAUCCGGUUCACUUUAACACUGAGGCGUGACGACGAGGCACUACGGUGCUGAAGCAACAAAUGCCCUGCUUCCAGGAAAAGCCUCUAAGCAUCAGGUAACAUCAAAUCGUACCCCAAACCGACACAGGUGGUCAGGUAGAGAAUACCAAGGCGCUUGAGAGAACUCGGGUGAAGGAACUAGGCAAAAUGGUGCCGUAACUUCGGGAGAAGGCACGCUGACACGUAGGUGAAGUGAUUUACUCAUGGAGCUGAAGUCAGUCGAAGAUACCAGCUGGCUGCAACUGUUUAUUAAAAACACAGCACUGUGCAAACACGAAAGUGGACGUAUACGGUGUGACGCCUGCCCGGUGCCGGAAGGUUAAUUGAUGGGGUCAGCGCAAGCGAAGCUCCUGAUCGAAGCCCCGGUAAACGGCGGCCGUAACUAUAACGGUCCUAAGGUAGCGAAAUUCCUUGUCGGGUAAGUUCCGACCUGCACGAAUGGCGUAAUGAUGGCCAGGCUGUCUCCACCCGAGACUCAGUGAAAUUGAACUCGCUGUGAAGAUGCAGUGUACCCGCGGCAAGACGGAAAGACCCCGUGAACCUUUACUAUAGCUUGACACUGAACAUUGAGCCUUGAUGUGUAGGAUAGGUGGGAGGCUUUGAAGUGUGGACGCCAGUCUGCAUGGAGCCGACCUUGAAAUACCACCCUUUAAUGUUUGAUGUUCUAACGUGGACCCGUUACCCGGGUUGCGGACAGUGUCUGGUGGGUAGUUUGACUGGGGCGGUCUCCUCCUAAAGAGUAACGGAGGAGCACGAAGGUUGGCUAAUCCUGGUCGGACAUCAGGAGGUUAGUGCAAUGGCAUAAGCCAGCUUGACUGCGAGCGUGACGGCGCGAGCAGGUGCGAAAGCAGGUCAUAGUGAUCCGGUGGUUCUGAAUGGAAGGGCCAUCGCUCAACGGAUAAAAGGUACUCCGGGGAUAACAGGCUGAUACCGCCCAAGAGUUCAUAUCGACGGCGGUGUUUGGCACCUCGAUGUCGGCUCAUCACAUCCUGGGGCUGAAGUAGGUCCCAAGGGUAUGGCUGUUCGCCAUUUAAAGUGGUACGCGAGCUGGGUUUAGAACGUCGUGAGACAGUUCGGUCCCUAUCUGCCGUGGGCGCUGGAGAACUGAGGGGGGCUGCUCCUAGUACGAGAGGACCGGAGUGGACGCAUCACUGGUGUUCGGGUUGUCAUGCCAAUGGCACUGCCCGGUAGCUAAAUGCGGAAGAGAUAAGUGCUGAAAGCAUCUAAGCACGAAACUUGCCCCGAGAUGAGUUCUCCCUGAGACUUAAAGUCUCCUGAAGGAACGUUGAAGACGACGACGUUGAUAGGCCGGGUGUGUAAGCGCAGCGAUGCGUUGAGCUAACCGGUACUAAUGAACCGUGAGGCUUAACCUUACAACGCCGAAG
rnacentral:rRNA from 1 species